AGCGGCGAACGGCGUAGUAAGACGUAGGAACGUACCCUCGGGACGGGGAUAGCUAUGGGAAACUGUAGGUAAUACCCGAUAAUCUCUGCGGAGCAAAGGUGUGAUUCCGCCUGAGGAGCGGCUUACGCGAUAUUAGCUAGUUGGUGGGGUAAUGGCCUACCAAGGCAAAGAUGUCUAGGGGGUGUGAGAGCAUGGCCCCCACGACCGGAACUGAGAUACUGUCCGGACACCUACGGGUGGCUGCAGUCGAGAAUCUUCCGCAAUGGACGAAAGUCUGACGGAGCGACGCCGCGUGCGGGAUGAAGGCCCUUGGGUUGUAAACCGCUGUCAGAGGGGAUGAAAUCUUCGGAGGUACUCCUCCGAAGUUGACAAAGCCUCAAAGGAAGCACGGGCUAAGUACGUGCCAGCAGCCGCGGUAACACGUACUGUGCGAACGUUAUUCGGAAUCACUGGGCUUAAAGGGUGCGUAGGCGGCGAUUCAAGUCAGGUGUGAAAUGCCUGAGCUCAACUGAGGCAUUGCGCUUGAAACUGAAUUGCUAGAGUAUCCUAGGGGUGUGCGGAACUGCCAGUGGAACGGUGAAAUGUGUUGAUAUUGGCAGGAACACCGGAGGCGAAAGCGGCACACUGGGGGAUAACUGACGCUGAGGCACGAAAGCCAAGGGAGCGAACGGGAUUAGAUACCCCGGUAGUCUUGGCCGUAAACGAUGAGCACUGGG
rnacentral:rRNA from 1 species